rfam:Gossypium raimondii Chr02_contig_371, whole genome shotgun sequence.
UAUUAAAAAUUUUAUCCAUUUUUACAGUUAAAAAGUAGCGUAACUAACAUUAUAACCAGAAAGUUACACAUGACAUCUCACGUGGAUCUCAUGCUGACAUACAUAAAUCAGUUUUUAACAAUAAAAUGAAUGAAAUUUUUAACA